rnacentral:tRNA from 1 species
GGCGCGUUGACAGAUUGGUGAUGUAGCGGAUUGCAAAUCCGUGUAACCCGGUUCAAUUCCGGGACGCGCCUUCA